rnacentral:lncRNA from 1 species
GAUCAUCCAAAAGCAGUAGCCCAUUGGAGCCAGAUUUGAUCGAGUGCAGCAUUGUUUGCAAAAAUGAAAAACAGGGCAAUCCAACAGCAACAAUGGACGCAUCGUUUGUUUUCUUUGCCUUCAACCAAUCAUUGAGGUCAGCAGUUGUUAUGACAUUUGCAUCCAAUAGUUCCUUGCCUCUCUGUUCGCAUAGUCUCAUUGUGCUUCCCCAUACCUGUCACAAAUUUUGCAAAAUAAGAGAGACCAUUCAUUUCUAUUUCAAGGCAAGCAGCAAAUGUGAACAAUAAAAUGUGACAUAAUUGUCAAUAGUCCCAUUGUUAGAGAAUUAGCUAUUCUCUACAUCAUGCCAAAAUCAGGGCCUAAUCCAGUCCUGGCUGUGACUGGCUUGUCAUCACAACAAUAAUUAAUUUGAGGAUAGUCAAUGGACCCUUCACAAGAUCUUAAUAUGUAUUCCAGAAUAGGAGGCCGAGGAAAUUUUCAUUUAAUUGAUUCACUAGCUUCAUGUUAAGUCAAAAAAAUAAAUAAAAAUUUACUAUCACUUAUUUAUUAAGUUUAUUAUACACUUCUGCUUCAACUUCAUUCUUCAGUUUUCUGCUUUUCUCAGUAAAUACAUUAACUUAACUUCUAUAACAACAAAGUAAGCCUCGUUUAACAAUAAAUGUGUUUGUGGUCGACUACAUGUAUCCAUUUCUGUAACUCCAUUCGGUUCAUUGCUCGAUCUACUAGAAGAUCUAAAGCUAGAAGAUUUUAACUAUUACAUGCCACGCUAGUUUCUGUAUAAAUAAUUAGAUAUUUAUGCUUGACACAUUAGUUUUUCAAAGCAAAAAAUUGAAUUUCAAUUAUACCACAAGUCCUCAUAAUUACUUUCUCUUGCAUUAAUAAAAUCCUUACUUCGAUUAAUUGACAGUAUAGUGUACUCAGAAGUUUCUUCCUGUUAGCAAUCAAUUGUAUCCUUAAGCUAUUACAUGGAAGUACAAUAUAUUGUUAAUGGCAACGUUUCUGCAUGUCUUAGAUGUCAAAUUAUCCUGAAUUUCCCUAAUUACUGAACAUGCAUACCUGCACCAUUGGCACCUCAUGUAUUGCCUCCCGAACAGAUCUUGAUGCUAUAAGGUUUGGCACGAUGAUUGAAGGAGCUUCAGUGAAGACAGCACUGUAAUUUCCAUGUAAGGAGUGAUUUUGCUGAACAGAAAACUCAGAACUGGAUUUACUUUUCUUCCUGUAUCGGGGCCUGGCCAUGAGUAACAAGAUUAGUGUCUUGAAAGGGGAAUGACUACAAAAAAGGCUAUACAACUUUGAGAAUUUUGAUAAUUUAUUUUAUUUUAUUUUUUAAAAAAAACGGGGUAAAGUUACUCAAUUACUUUUUUAAGUAUUUUUUUGGCUCAAAUAUGUUAAAUAACAAACCUUUUCUUACUUCUAAAUAAAAUAAAAAGAAUUACCCUUUUAAUAGCAACUCUUACUUUAGUGUAAAAACAAGAACUUAAAUACUUCUAACUUACAAAAAGAAAAUCGUAUACUUACUCAUUUACUUGUAAGUAAACUUUCUAAGCAUAGAAUUCUCUUCAUCCAUGAAGCAAUGAUAAAAACCCUCGAGAAAAAAAAAAUAAUGAAUGGAACUAAUUACUUUGGAAGGAUUGACCCCUCACGAAGAUAGAGCAAAUCAUUUGUGUACUCGUCAAAUUCAGCAACCAUAGCAAUGACAUAAGCAACACCUCUUCGGAAGGACCUUUCCUGAAUCACCAUGAAUGAUCGCCAGUAAAAAACCACAUGUAAUUCAUGAAAUUGUGUUUUGAAAAACUCUGUGGCUGAAAUAUACCUGGUACACUAUAACGGAUCCAUAUAAUCCUAUGAAAAAACUUGAAAAUAUAGCCAUUAUGAUGCUCCCAAUAACAACAAGCGGCCACAUAAGGAUUGCCAAACCAGCAAUUGGAACACAAGCUGUUUCUAAAAAUGGGCCUUCCCGGCUGAUCAAAUCGUGUACUAAUCUAUGCCAUCCCUUGAACAACAUGUAAGGACUCUUUACUAUUGCAAUAGCUGUGUAAAGAGGAAUUUCCACUAUCAGCCCCAUCAAACCAACAAUGAUGCACCCAGGAACAUGAAUGAGCCUGCACGAUGGUUUCAUCAAAGAUUAAGAACGAUAAUAAUCUCCUAAUUCCAUCACAUUUUCAUGACAUGUAUUCACCUGUGUAAUACUUUCCAUUCAGAAAAAUCUGAAGAAACGGAAAUUUUAAAUGCUUAUGUUAAUGUUAACCAGAGCAAUUCUCGGCCAACGAAGGAGACGAUUCAGUAAACAUUUUAUGUUAUGCUAUCCCUUCUUAAUUUUACCUGGCUGAGAAAUAUAACAUGUUGUGGCAUUGUUAUUACACCCCUGUUUGAGCCUUAUUUUUAGGAGAAUAGAUUUUGUAAAAAGUGAUUUUUUUUGGAGAACGUCUUGUUAAAAUGUUUUUAAUUUACGUGCAAAAAUAUUUUAUUGGGAGAAUGUGUCAAACAAUGAGUUUGGAAAAAAUUGAGUUUUAAAGAAUGGGCUCAAAUGGGGCUAAAUCUAAUUAACGUAAUUAUGUCGAGUGUAAAUUUCCUUCAACCUCAAAACAAAAUGAAGAGAUAAAUUUAUCAUUGAUAAGAAAAAUCUUGUUCAAUUGGAAUUAAGAUAAAUUUCCUUUAUUUGCCCAUAGGAUUGUUAUUGUUCACUGAAAAAAAACAGAUAAGAAGAAAUAUAAAAAUAAAACAAAAAAUUUACGGACUAUUAAAGCUUUCACUACAAGAAAAUUUGUUCAAUCAUAUAGAAUUUUCAGUCACCUAAACCCCCAAGUAUUGUAAGAAAAAAAUAUCAUAAACUUUACCACACCUACCAAUUUACUCUUUGUACAACCCACAAAGAAAAUAAGAAAAAUCAGGAUACUAGACUUACAAUGUUUCCUCACUAAACUUUCCAGCCAUGUGUGAAAACUAUACUCAUCAAAUUGGAAUUUUUUAUAAUCCUUUUCAUAUUCAAUUACCAGCUCCCAUUCAUUUCAAAUUAUAACACUCAGCGGACCAGCAAGCAUAGGAAUCUUCAAUUAAAAUUUUAACUUUUUUUCUUAUUUGCAUUGAAAUUGUCUUAAUUUAGAAUUUUUUGAGGUAACAAUCCCAACAAUCUCUACUUAGCCAAAAACAAGCCAAAUGCCUCGUCCGCCCCUUUAGAGGGCAGGAUUAAUUUGGCUUAAAAGCCUAAUCAGUUAAUUAAAAGGGUCCCAAAAUAAUACAAUAUAGUUUGGAGACCAAUGGAGAAAUUCCUGAAACCCCAUCAUUAAGUAAAGGACCCAUUAGGGCAUGAUGAUUGCCUUUAUAAAUUGUGCAGUAUGAACAUGAAUUCUGUGUGAGAAAACUGAAAUGACAACAGAAAAUUUACGUACGGUAGGUAGAGAUAGGAGAGGAAAAAUAGUAGGAAAGAUUAGAGCUUUGCUAGACGAUUGAAACAUUUUCAGUUUCAUUUCAGACUCCAUUUGGUAAGAUCAUUAAAUCUUCUCUUUAUUAUUUGUCCAUAGAAAGCACCUAGCAUAUGAUGAAUAUUUUGGUGAAUUCUUGAUGAUAUUGCGAUACUCUAGUAUUACCUAGAGAAGUUGCAAUCUCAUCAUUAUAGAUUAUAGUUGAAGAACUAAUCGAAGUUGUGCCCGUGGAUGUCUCCAAGUUGCCAAACCACAUUAUCUUGGCGUUCUUGAAAUUUAUAUAUUUUCCUAUUAGCAUUGUUAGAAUUGGUUGAUUACCCUAUUUUAUUUACACACAAAGUGGGAAAAGAUUUAUUCUGCCGUGUAAAUAGUUUGUUUCCGAACAAGUGAUAUCCGAAAUUCAUUAUUAUUAUUUAUUUACUUUUGUAAUAGAAUGGAAGAAAAAUCAUUUGGGAUGAUAAAAUUGAGUUCGUCAAAAUAUCAAUUGGGAAACAAAAAAUGCAUGAUAUGCUAUACUGCAAAGAUUUGUUUAAGCGUGUUAAAUGUACAGCAAAUCUAGAAAAAUUAUCUGAUGAAAUCGGAAACAUUGCACAUGAAAACCGCUACUAUGAUCAGAUAGUGGGUUGAUCAUAAUAUAUUUCAUCAUAUUGCUGAAGAAACAAGGCUGAUGCAGUUUGGAAAAAGUAAGAAUCCAUGUACGAGAAGAAUACAUCCAGAAAUAAAGCAACAAUAAUUAGAAUGCUCACAAAUUUGAAGUAAAGGACUCAGUACGGUAGAGCAUACAAGUGAGUUUAUUGCCUUAGCGAAUCAAUUAUCAACUAUGAAGAUGAACCUCGAAGAUAAGCAGCAGGCACGUUUACUGCUCAGUUCUUUGCAUGAUAGUUGGAAUACACUAGUGAUUUAAUUAAGCAACUCAGUAUCAGAUGGAAAAUUAAUCAUCGAUAUAUAUAGAGAGUUUGCUCUACGAAUAAGCCAUAAAAAAGGAAAAAGUUGAAUAUUCUUCUGAUGCCCUUGCAACUGAACAACAUGAAAAGUGGGUAAGAAGUAAAAGCAGAAAGGCUGGUGGUCAUGGGUAAAGGGAUUCUUCUAGUGGGAAGUUUAAAUCUAGAAAGAAAUUGAGGUGUUAUCAUUGCAACAAACUUGGACAUAAAAAGAGUGAGGGUAGAAUUUGGAAAAGAGAACAGAUGAAGGACAGGAAACUUGAGACAACAGAUAUGAGCUCAAGCGUUUAAGAGUUGGAGCAUUUCAAAUGGGUUGGGAGAAAAAACAAAAGAACAAAAUAAAAGUAAAAUAUGCCAAUAUUUCAUAUAUUCUUGAUUUGUUUGAAUGAUAUGCAACUUUGUGACUUUUUUCUGUCACCUAAAACUGAACAGAUUUUAGUUUUUCCCGUUGAACAGACUAGUCUGAUUUGGUUUUGACAAUUGAUCACAUCAACUUCAAAGGUACAAAAUUUUUAUUGAUAUUUUGAAAUUUUGAUUCUCAUACUAAGUUAAUAAGAUAUAAUGUCAAAAGUUAAGAAGGAACCACAAAAAUCGAAUUAGAAGCCUACCAUGAAAGAUAUAAAAAUAAGUUAUUCUUUUCAUCAAUAUAGGAAAAAAAAAUAUUAACUUGUCAAUAAAUAAAAUUUAGAAUUUUAUGAUUUGGUCUUUAGGUCGAUGUUCGUGGUAACGAAAAUGUAAUGUCAUCAGUACUCCCUCUUUAAGAAAAACUUUCUUUAAAAAAAAAAAAGGGGUAAUGAUUUUUCCGAUUAAACUGUCCAAUCUAUUUUUUAGAACAUUGUUUUCGUGACAUUAGUAUCAAUCGAAGCAUUCAUUUAUUUUAUAAUUGACUAUAAAAUAACUAAUGGAUUGACAUAUUGUGAUUUGGAAGGUAAGAUUUGAUAUUUGUCACAUGCUCAAAGAUUCGGGGCAAACUCUAAUUCCAUUCCGGUGGAACGUUCCGGGCCGUUCUUGGUUGUCAACUUGUCAUUAUGCUGGCUAAUUAAAAUAUAAAUUUCUAUUUUAGCGCUUGUUUGUUUCACAUUUUUUGUCCUAAGUAGAAGAAAUCAGAUCGUCGCUCUUUCGAAAAGUCACUACUUUAUUCAUUUCAUCUGACAAAAAAAAAAAAAAAAUAAAUGACAAUUUGAAUUUAAUCUUCAAUGGAUUGUGUCCAUAACUUAAAUUUGAGAGAAAAAAAUUUAAGGCUCCGUUUGAUUGCACGAAAUUUUCCAUGGAACUUGGAAUUCGAAUUCCAACUUCCACUUUUGACCUGUUUGAUUGACAAAAUUUUCCAGGGAAUUGAUUUUCCAUGAAUUUCUAGGUACAACAAUUUAAAGCGUGAUUUUUCACCUUUUAUUUUCUUAGGGGUAGGUGAUUUUUGGUUUUUGUUUGGUAUUUGGUCCGGUGUAUCUGGAAUUUGAUGUGUGUGCGCUGUGAAAAAAGUUGUGAAUAAUUGAUGUACCAAUAGCAUAUUUCUAGAACUGAAUUGGUAUUUGUAUAGCAUGACAGCUUUUUUCACAGCUGUCUCAUAGAAAUAAUCGUGGACCCCACCCACUUGCAUAUGUGUGUGCUGUGAAAAAAGUUGUAAAUAAUUUAUGUAUCUAAAGCAUCUUUCUAGAACCGAAUUGUUGUUAUGAUAGCAUUUUUCACAGUUGUCUCACAAAGGUGGGGUCCACAAUUAUGUUAAUCGUGGAUCCCACCCACUUGCAUGUAUGUGCUGUGAAAAAAAUUGUGAAUAAUUAAUGUACCUAUAGCAUCUUUCUAGAACCAAAUUGCUGUUGGUAUAGCAUUUGUUUGACAUCUUUUCUCACAGUUGUCUCACAAAGGUAGGGUCCACAAUUAUUUUAAUCGUGGAUCCCACCCACUUGCAUGUGUGUGCUGUGAAUAAUUAAUGUACCUAUACCAUCUUUCUAGAACGAAAUUGCUGUUGGUAUAGCAUUUGUUUGACAUCUUUUCUCAUAGCUGUCUCACAAAGGUGGGUCCCCGAUUAUUUUAAUCGUGGAACUCACUCACUUGCAUGUGUGUAUGUUGUGAAAAAAGUUGUGAAUAAUUGAUGUACUUAUAGCAUCUUUCUAGAGCCGAAUUGCUAUUGGUACAACAUUUGGUUGACAGCUUUUUUCACAGCUGUCUCACAGAGGUGGGGUCCACGAUUAUUUUAAUCAUAGACCCUACCCACUUGCAUGUGUGUGCGCUGUGAAAAAUGUUGUGAAUAAUUGAUGUACCGAUAGCAUAUUUCUAGAACUGAAUUGCUAUUUGUACAGCAUGACAGCUUUUUUCACAGCUGUCUCACAGAAAUAAUCGUGGACCCCACCCACUUGUAUAUGUGUGCUGUGAAAAAAGUUGUAAAUAAUUUAUGUAUCUAAAGCAUUUUUCUAGAACCGAAUUGUUGUUAUGAUAGCAUUUUUCACAAUUGUCUCACAAAGGUGGGGUCCACAAUUAUGUUAAUCAUGGAUCCCACCCACCUGCAUGUGUGUGCCGUGAAAAAAACUGUGAAUAAUUAACGUACCUAUAGCAUCUUUCUAGAACCAAAUUGCUGUUGGUAUAGCAUUUGUUUGACAUCUUUUCUUACAGCUGUCUCACAAAGGUGGGGUCCACAAUUAUUUUAAUCGUGGAUCCCACCCACUUGCAUGUGUGUGCUGUGGAUAAUUAAUGUACCUGUAGCAUCUUUCUAGAACCAAAUUGCUGUUGGUAUAGCAUUUGUUUGACAUCUUUUCUCUUAGUUGUCUCACAAAGGUGGGUCCCCGAUUAUUUUAAUCGUGGAACUCACUCACUUGCAUGUGUGUAUGUUGUGAAAAAAGUUGUGAAUAAUUGAUGUACUUAUAGCAUCUUUCUAGAGCCGAAUUGCUAUUUGUACAGCAUUUGGUUGACAGCUUUUUUCACAGCUGUCUCAUAGAGGUGGGGUCCACGAUUAUUUUAAUCGUAGACCCUAUCCACUUGCAUGUGUGCGCAUUGUGAAAAAAGCUAUGAAUAAUUGAUGUACCGAUAACAUCUUUCUAGAACCAAAUUGCUGUUUAUACAAUAUUUAUUUGACAACUUUUUUCACAGUUGUCUCACAGAGGUGGGGUCCAUGAUUAUUUUAAUUGUGGAUCCCACACACUUGCAUGUGUGUGUGCUGUGAAAAAAAUUGUGAAUAAUUGAUGUACCUAUAGCAUCUUUCUAGAACCGAAUUGCUAUUUGUACAACAUUUGUUUGACAGCUUUUUUCAUAACUGUUUCUAUGUGUGUGUUGUGAAAAAAAAAACUGUAAAUAAUUGAUGUAUCUAAAGCAUCUUUCUAAAAUCGAAUUGUUGUUUGUACAACAUUUAUUUGAUAGUUUUUUCACAGUUGUCUCACAAAGGUGGGGUCCACAAUUAUUUUCAUCGUGGAUUCCACCCGCUUGCAUAUGUGUGCAUUGUGAGAAAAGUUAUGAAUGAUUAAUGUACCUAUAGCAUCUUUCUAGAAGCAAAUUGCUGUUGGUACAACAUUUGUUUGACAGUUUUUUUCACAACUGUCUCACAGAUGUGAGGUCUCUAAUUAUUUUAAUCAUGCUGUGAAUAAUUGAUGUACCUGUAGCAUCUUUCUAGAAUCGAAUUGCUGUUUGUAGAGCAUUUGUUUGACAGCUUUUUUCAUGGCUAUCUCACAAGGGUGGUAAUCGUGGACCCUACCCACUUGAAUGUGUGUGUGCUAUGAAAAAAGCUAUGAAUAAUUAAUGUACCUAUAACAUCUUUCUAGAAUUGAAUUGCUAUUUGUAAAGCAUUUGUUUGAUAGCUUUUUUUACAGCUGUCUCACAAAGGAGGGGUCCACGAUUGUUUGAAUCGUAGACCCCACCUACUUGCAUUGGUUUGUGCUGUGAAUAAUUGAUGUAUCUAUAACAUCUUUCUUAACAAUAGCGCCAAGACAAGGUAAGAUGUGUUCGUGUACUUUUAUCAGAAAUUUCUCAUUAAAAAUAUCCAAAGAGAUUACACUAAGAGGGUGUUUGAGCCACAUUAUUUUGGUAAUAAUGCACUCUUGAAUAGUGUAUUGAUGGGAAAUGUGUGAUUAAAAAAUAACGAAAAGUUUUUGAUCUACGUGUAAUAUUAUUUUAUUGAAGAAUGUAUGAUUGAAAUGAUGUCAAAUCACUAUUUAAAAAUAUAUUUUUUUGAAAUAAUGUGACUCAAAUAUGCCCUUAAUAAAAAUUAGAGUAUUUUUACAUAUUUUAGUGGGGUUCGUAACUCCUAUCUAAAUGAGUUUCGAGUACAAGUACCAUUCUGUUUCAAGCAUCAUUAGAAUUUAAAUAACUUUUUUGAGAGAGUGACAAGACAUGGAUUACUUCAGCUAACUCAUUGACUCCGCGUUCAUGAAAUUUCAGAUACCGUACUUUUUAAAAGACUUCAUCGUCAUGUACAAGAUCCGCGUGCAUGUCUGAGCCUUCGAAGAUGAAAAUUUACAUAUAUUUCCUAUGAAGCAUUCAAAAGAUUCACAUACAAAAUGAACACCAAGCGUGUUUGCCCACUGUACAUUCUCUUCAUAUACAUUCAACGAAGUUUUUGACACAAAAAACAGCGUGUAACAAAAACUUUACAAGCCAAUAUGAUCUAGAGGACUACAGUAGCUAUUGUACAGCAUCAGAAAAUCGAAAAAGAAGAAAGAAUUCAACCAGAUAAAUAUCUCUCAGACGAUAUCAAUGGAACCAAUUGAUCUUGUAGACAUUGAUCUGUUGGAGCCUUCCUUAGAUGCAGAACAAGUAAUGGAUCUGUUGGAGCCUUCCUUAGUUGCAGAACAAGUAAUGGAUCUGUUAGAACCCUCCUUUGCUAAUGAACAAGAACCAUCCUUUGCAGCUGAAUAAUGUAUCAAGUUCUUAACAACCUGCCGAUAUCUCCUUCUGUAAGUUGGAAACUUAGAUACACUUCUAGACAUUCCCAACAUCCUGCUAAGCACACAACGAAUGUUAAGUAUAUGUAUGGUAGUGCUUUUAAGUGCUUAUAAACCAUGGGUCCUAUGAAAUGUAUGACUAAUAAGUGAAUAGUAACUGUGGAUUCCAUGAAAUGUAUGGAUACAGUUAUUCUCCCGAAGCCUAGGUCUACCAAAUACGUGCCCACCUGAUAUUCUUUUUUUACACGGUAGGAAUAUUAGGUCGAUAUUAAAGUAAUAUAUAUAUAUAUUUUUUUUUACCUGCGACCGAUACCAUCUAAUCGAGCAGCUCUGACAGGGUCUUCAGGAAUAAAACUACCAUUUUCCCAAGUCUUAAGGUGUUCUUUAUUGUUUCCAAAGAGAAUCAACUUCUCCAGGUACCGUAUCUCGCCCUCUUCCAAAGAAAGGACUCGGAUUUGUUCUUUGAGGACCAUCACAGGCUGGAAAAACCAGUCCAACAAUCUGCUCUGGGGCCGAUUCAAAUGGGUGAUCUCAAGAUCAUCCAAAAGCAGUAGCCCAUUGGAGCCAGAUUUGAUCGAGUGCAGCAUUGUUUGCAAAAAUGAAAAACAGGGCAAUCCAACAGCAACAAUGGAUGCAUCGUUUGUUUUCUUUGCCUUCAACCAAUCAUUGAGGUCAGCAGUUGUUAUGACAUUUGCAUCCAAUAGUUCCUUGCCUCUCUGUUCGCAUAAUCUCAUUGUGCUUCCCCAUAC